UCGUUUAAAGAAAUACUGCCAAAAGGCACACAAAAGAGUAGUUGAUAAACCAAUUACAGAAGUUAGAGAAGCUGGAAUAUGCAUGCGUGAAAAUUCAUUCUAUGUAGACAGUACGAAGGUGGGGAGCUCUAACACAGUACCAGAGCCAAGGUCCCAGGUUCGAACCCCCCUGGCCACGCAUUUCCGCUGCACGAUUUCCCCUGCGCCUCUUUCGUGUGCUGAGACCUGCUGCGGGCUACGCCGGGCACUAGAACCUGCUGCAGGCUACGCCGGGCUCGCACGCCGUAGGGGGAAUGAU